rnacentral:misc_RNA from 1 species
GAACGCACAUUGCGCCCGCCAGUAUUCUGGCGGGCAUGCCUGUUCGAGCGUCAUUUCAACCCUCAAGCCCCAGUGGCCUGGUGUUGGGGACCGGCGACCUCGCCCGGGGGAACACCCCCGGCGCGUCCGCCGCCCCCGAAAUGAAUUGGCGGCCCCGUCGCGGCCUCCUCUGCGUAGUAGCACAACCUCGCAGCGGGAGCGCGACGCGGCCACUGCCGUAAAACGCCCAACUUUUUUUAGAGUUGACCUCGGAUCAGGUAGGACUACCCGCUGAACUUAAG